rnacentral:rRNA from 2 species
GUCUUUUUGAAAUAAUUUAAAGUCUAAUCUGCCCACUGAUAAAAAAUUAAAGGGCUGCAGUAUAAUGACUGUACAAAGGUAGCAUAAUCAAUAGUUUUUUAAUUGAAAACUUGUAUGAAAGAUUUGAUGAAAUAUGGACUGUCUCUAAUUUAUAUAUUGAAUUUUAUUUUUUAGUAAAAAAGCUAAAAUAAAUUUAAAAGACGAGAAGACCCUAUAGAGUUUUAUAUUUAAUUUUAUUUUAAAAUUAUAUAAAAAUUAAUAUUAAAAAUAAAAUUAAAUAUUAUAUUGGGGUGAUAGAAAAAUUAAAUUAACUUUUUUUAAAAAUUAAACAUAAAUAAAUGAUUAUAUGAUCCAUAAAUAAUGAUUAUAAGAAAAAAUUACCUUAGGGAUAACAGCGUAAUAUUUUUUUUUAGUUCAAAUAAAAAAAAAAGUUUGCGACCUCGAUGUUGGAUUAAGAUAAAAUUUAAAUGCAAAAGUUUAAAAAUUUUGAUCUGUUCGAUCAUUAAAAUCUUACA